GACUGGAUAACCCACUCAAGGUAAUAUACAUACUCAUUCUGAAGAAUGUGAAUAUUCUGAAGAAUGUGAACAUUCUGAAGAAGGGUCUCGACCCGAAACAUUUCCUUUUUUUCUUCGUUCCAUAGAUGCCGCCUCAUCCGCUGAGUUUCUCCAGCACUUUUGUCUACCUACAUACACACCGUGCUGUGUCGGACGAGGCUGGAGAAAAGCAUUCACAUUUCAAUGCGAAACCAGUGCAUCGCUACGAGAGGGACGUGGAAAACCACAGUAAACAACACAUAGUCCCUGAAAACGUGUUUCAGUGGGAUUAGCGAUUGCGGUAAUGUCAGAACUAGACACGACUGGGAGAAAUCGUGGAUACUUCGGCCACAUUUAGAAGAUAGCAAAAGACAGUGCAAUAAGCUAAGAGGUCGGAGAUUGGCAGCACAAUCAGAGCACUAAGCUUAUAUUAAAAAAAUGUCAACUAUGAAAAUGAGACUACUGAUAAAUACUACCAUAGCCUCUGGAGAUUGGAUCUCUCUUUCACUUGUCCUAUCUGUUCUUUUGCAAUCAUCUCCAAGGCCCUUAAGUGGGGGGCUACCAUCGACUCCACAGUAAAAAAGGCACAACAGAGGAUGUACUUCCUGCGGCAGCUGAGGAAGCACAAUCUGCCACAGGC